rnacentral:rRNA from 1 species
UGGGGAAUAUUGCGCAAUGGGGGAAACCCUGACGCAGCAACGCCGCGUGAAGGAUGAAGGUUUUCGGAUUGUAAACUUCUUUGAUGAGGGACGAAGAAUGACGGUACCUCAAAAACAAGCCACGGCUAACUACGUG